CAAAGAAAUUCUGUCAUUAAAAACAUUUUAGACAGAGAGACAGAGGCAGAGAGACACAGAGAGAGCAUUUGUAGGAAAGAUACAAAACAGGAGCAAAGAGGCCUGGGCCUCCUAGCAGAGUUAGCAAAGCCAGGGUAGCAACUAGGGACUCGGGUCUUCUCCCUAGGAAAGUACCCAGCAUAGACAGCAAGUACCCAAGACUCAGAGCCACAAGGCAGCUUGGCCUCUGGAUCCUGCCCUUUUUUCUGUCCUAUAUCACCACACCUGUAAGUGUAAUGACUCAGACAGUAGUCAGUAGGAGGGGUAACUCUCAAAACCAAAGCGAAGUGGCUUUUCUCAGGCUGCUAGCAGUGAAAGCCAGCUUCUUAAAGAAGGACUGUCAACUCUCUGGGGCAGCAUGUCUCCCUGAAAUGGACUUGCCUCUCUUCCAUGUUUGCCUUAUUACAACUAUUGCAUCCCCUAAGAGCUAGUAUUUCAACCUGUCUAUAGAAAAAAAAAAGUGCUGUAGGUAUUUGUAAUUCUAUUUCUGGUCCCCAUUUUCAGGAAUGUCACUACCCUUUGCCUCCUGUGACUCAUACUUGCUACUCCCAGGAGCCAAUGCACUUCUCCAUUUACAAAGCAGCUGGUGAUGAAGUCGGCCACGUGCUUUGAGCUUAUCUGGGAAAAGUUCUAGGCAGCUAAGUGACACUCGAUCCAGAACUGAAUGGCCACUCUGUGCAGGCAUGCUAGUAUCAGGGCUGGCUCACAUCUCCUGCUCUAUUCUGAAGAGAGUCACUCAUUCACUUAUUCAGGAUGAGUAACAGUCGGCGGUGAUGGAUGGAUAGCAGAUCGUUGAUUUCAUUUCCUGCCCGUGGUUUCUGCACGGGGGUCUGAAGGACAGAGAGAGGCAUUUCAAAAAUGUUCACACAAACAGCACCGCUAGCAAAGUGUGCAGUUCCCUAAGAUGGACUGCUGUGCCCAGCAGCACUCAUUGGGUAGUUUACAUUCCAGUGCAGUAAUUCUUGAUAUUGAUUUCCUUCACUUUGCAAUCACAUUUUGCAUGUGGACUGGUACACAAUUCUUAACAAGAGCUAGAAGGAGAUUAAAGGCCAUUUACCACCUCAUAUGCAUCAGGUAUUAUCAGGUAUUUUUGUUUGUUUUAGAAAAUUAAUUUUCUUUUUAAUUAUGUGUCUGUGUGUGGAUAUGUACUCAUGAAUGCAGGUCCCCAAGGAGGCCAGAAGAGGGUGUCAGAUUCUCCAGAGCUGGAGUUAGAGGUGAUUGUGAGUUGCCUGAUGUGGGUGAACUUGGGUCCUCCACAAGAGCAGAAAGCAGCCUUGACUCUUGAGCCAGCUUCUUAGCCCCAGAAUUGGGCAUUUUACACACUGGUUCCUUGAAUCUUUAUGAGACCUCUGUAAGGAAGGUUUCCCCUGUCUUAUUUCAUAGAUGAGGAAAGCAAGAUUCAGUGAGCUAGAACUUAUCCCACACCCUGCUCUGUGUGCCAAAAGCUGUGAUCUAAGCUCCUACCACUAUGGUUAGUUUCCAAGAACUCAGUCCACGCUGUCAUUUGAUAGACAGUCAUUUGGUUUUAGAUUGCUCAUUGCCCUUCACUCCCAAUAUACACUCCCCGUUGCUAAGAUGCUCUUCACGAAGCACUCUUGAGAAGAAUAGAACAUGUAUUUUCAAGACAGAUAUUAACAAGACCCAAGUGACCCUCAUCUUCAUUAACCCGGAAAGCAGUGAAUCGUUGCUCAUUGCAACCAUCCAUUAUAGCACAUCACCAGCAAGUCUCAGUCUGUCUCACACUAGUAGGUACAGAGAUGUUACCAAUUUUCUUAAGAGAUAUUGUAUCAGUUACACAUUAUUUCUGAAAAGUAAUAGUCAAAAUUAGUAUAUAUUUAACCUCUCAAUUAUUUGCUGAGCUUACUGUUAGUUACUGUGUAACUAACUGGACUUUUAGGGCAAAAGCCUGGGUUUCCAUAGCCCAAACAGGCUAAGUUUCACCACCCAUCCAUGUAUAACACUUUCCUCUGAAAUAGAAAUGUUUCAUCUUGCAGGGAAACUCCUUAAGCAGGAAGGUCAACAACUCAAAAUUUUCAGGAAGUCCCUGAAACUGACCAGAUUCACUAGGCCUCUAUUAGCUCUAGUGUAAACAAUAAAGGUCGAGCUGCAAAAACCUUAAGACCAAUGCAGCUGCCUAGAAAAAUUAGAAACCAGCAGAACUGCCUAACCCUUCCCCCACCCCCCUGAGGGUACUCCCCCACCCACACACCCACACACUCCCACCUCACAGCCCUGGUAUUCCCCUACACUGGGACAUCGAGCCUUCACAGGACUAAGGGCCUUUCCUCCCAUUGAUGCCAGAUAAGGCCAUCCUCUACUAUUCAUGCAGUUGGAGCCAUGGGUCCCUCCAUGUGUACUCUUUGGUUAGCUCCUUCAUUGGGGUCCCCGUGCUCAGUCCAAUGGUUGGCUGCCAGCAUCCACAUCUGUAUUUGUCAGGUUCUGGCAGAGCCUCUCAAGAGACAGCUAUAUCAGGCUUCUGUCAGCAAGCACUUCUUGGCAUCAGCAAUAGUGUCUGGAUUUGGUGUCUGUAUAUGGAAUGGAUCCCCAGGCGGGGCAGUCUCUGGAUGGCCUUUCCUUCAGUCUCUGCCCCACACUUUGUCUUCAUAUUUCCUUUAGACAGGAGCAAUUCUGGGUUAAAAAUUUGGAGAUGAGUGGGUGGCCCCAUCCCCUGACCCCAUCCCCUUGUCUAACCUCUGGAUAUGGUCUCUACAGGUUCUCCCUCCCUUUUGUUGGGUAUUUCAGCUGAUGGUAACUGCUGCAGCUAUUUAAACAGGAAUGUAAUUUAAACUCCAUAAACUUCAGUUUUUGCACAGGUUAAAUAAAGAUUUAAAGUAUACCGUGUUAAUAAAUGAUGGGGUUCAAAGUCGGUACAGAGCUCAGGAUACAGAAUAGUUUGCAGACAUAAACAUAGCAAUGCCGAAUAAGAUCGUGUUAAACUGUGGUAAUGCUAAAGGAGAUGCUGGAGAUAAUGCCUGUAAAUGGGAAUGAGAGUGAAAAAGAGGACACUGGGGCGGGGCGGGGCGGGGUGGGGCGGGGCAGGGCAGGGCAGGGCAGGGCAGGGAAGCUGGUGAUAAGAGGAAGACAUUCAAACUGAGACCUGGUCACUCACUAGGAAGCACAUUAGCUAGAUAGAAAUGACAAAGUUGCCCGACAUAAAAUGUAACAAUUUUUUUUUUGUUGUUUGUUUCUUGAGACAGGGUUUCUCUGUAUAGCCCUGGCUGUCCUGGAACUCACUGGCCUAGUUCACAUUAGAGGGAUACAAAGUUUAAAAUGAAGCAGGAAAUAAAUUAAAACGUAGGCUUUACAGCCCUAGAAGAGGAAAGUUAGCAUACAGCCCCAUGUAAGUUGAAGAGAGGUAUUCCAACCAUGCACACAGUCUUUCACAGAUGCAGUCUUCUGUUUCCAGGUCCAUCCAUCUGGCUUAGUGCCCCAGAGAGCCUGGUUCUCGGUUAGGAGUAACCCUGGUUUGCCCAGUGUUUUCCAUGGAUUGCAUGUGUGUCCUACCACAGUGUUGGGAAGUUAGCCAGCCUUCCAUGGAUGAGAAAAUUAGGAGUUGCCUUUCAUGACACCUCACAUCUGGCCUGAUAUAUAUUCUAGACCAUUUUAUGAGUACACUGUCAGGUAAGACAUACUUUGAGGGCAAGGAUGUCCGUUCAUAAGAACUGAAACUACCAUUGUUCUUCUAGGUAUCUCUGCCUCUCUUCACUGCUACAAACAAACAGCAAACUGCAAACUCCUGGCAGUGCUGCUGGGAUGAAGAUUGAGAGGAUACAGCCAGACUGGCUCUCUUCCCCACGAAAACAUCUGGUAUGAAUCAGGCCUUGCAGGCCCCUAGAGACAGCAGCUCUCGAACCCAACCCAGCCUUAUGGCUUAAGGGCUUUGACACCUGGGGAAGAUGACUCUUGCCUGUGAACAACAACUGCAGGAUGGGCUGUGUAAGCGCAGACAAGAGAACAAAGAAGAAACAAGAGCUUCCCAAGCUUUUGGGUGCUGUAUUGGUGAUCACAGAUUUGUCCCAUGACUCUAAUGUCAGAAGGAACAUAGCAUAAUCAUCAUCAGAGAGGCAUCAUCCAGCAACUGAUGGAAACAGAUGCAGAGACCACAGCCAAACAUUGGACAGAGCUUGGGGAAUGCUGCAGUAGAUGGGGAGAGAAGAUUUGAGGAACCAGAGGGGUCGAGGAAACUACAAGAAAACAGCCCACAGAACCAACUAACCAGUGCUCAUAGGGGAACUAGAGGUGCAAGUGGUUAUAAGUGGCUUGAUGUGGGUGCUCAGAUGUGAACACUGUACCAGCAACACACACUCCUGACCACGGAGCCAUCACCCCACCGGCAUCCCACCUUUGGUGUUUUGUUUUGUUUGUUUGAGACUGAUUUGAACUCUACAGAAAUUCAGACGAAAGACUGAACAGGAUGCUGACUGCAUUUGAACAGGAACUUAUCAGACUCUGGCGAGGAGUCAGAAUCGGUCCCUUCUGGAGCGUGAGAAAUGACUCCGACACGAGAGAAGACAGAGGUACUGAGCUUAGAGGUCAGAGUCCAGUGGCACACCAUCAUCAGAAAUGGGCUAUUUGAGGAGAGAGACUUAGGACACACGGGUAGCACUUGUGACAUUGAUGUAGGCUUGUGGCAGUUGGAAAAUGGCCUGGAAACAAGCUGGAAAUGAGAUUGGGACAUGUGUGACGAGAGUCACAACCAGACUGUCAGCCUACUCCAGGCAGCCAGCACCCAUGGGCCUCUGUGCUCGUCACUCUGCAGACAGGACCGAGAAUGACAGCCACACAUGGAGUUCCAAUCAAGCCCAGGUCACGAGGGACAGAGACUCUUGAAGUCAGUCCUCCACCACCAGGAAGCAAGGUAGUUGGCCUACCUCCUGCUCCAAGCCACGGGCUACUGCUGGCUUGAUUCCUAGUGGUGCUUUUCGAGUUGUUCCGUGAAGUCAGUGACAUGUGUCUCCUGGUUUGGGUUCAGAUUACAAUCAGUAAUCAACCAAACUCCCUGAGACAAAAACAAAUAAACAAACAAACAAACAAAUUUCCGGUUUGGAGAUCGGAGCCCAUCUGUUUCUCAUUUUAUCUCUGGUCUGGAAGACUCCAUGGCUUAUUUGUUCUCUCUGCUCCUACCUUAAGAACACACAGCCAGCUGGAAGCAAAGUGGCCUUGCUUGUGCUUGACUACCUAUGUUCAAGUGAGAGUGAUGUGUGCGGUGGGGACUGCGUGUUUCCGUGCAGAACAGGAGAGGUGCCUGACUUAAAUUUUUUUUCAUGAAAUUUUAAUUUCCAUAUUUAAUCUAAAAAAAACCAACUAAAUACAAGCAAACAGUACAGAAACCAUGUCUUAUUAAGUGAGUGGUAGGCAACAGAUAUCUCCAUGCUUAUGUCUCAGCAGAGUCACUGGUGCAAUGGAAGGAUAGCAGUUGAUUAGCAGAUCAGUUGAGUGUGAACUCUGGCACUGAACAAGCAUCUUGGAGACUGCAGUGUUUACCAUCAGCCUCUCUUCUGAGAUGCAGGAGGAGCAGGCAGUCUGGAGACUCCAGCUCUGUUGUCUUUUGUGUUACAGGUCCCUCUUGUGUUGGCUGUGAGCAUUGUCUUGCUUCUGCACCUUGAAACAUGAGACCUGAUUUUGUGAGUUUGUCUGCAUUGCAGCUAGAAUCCUGCUCUUUCUUCACACCAUGGUCACCAUCUCCCCCAACUACCACCAUCAGCACCAUGUCCCCCACUACCACCAUCAGCACCAUCUCCCCCACUACCACUGUAAUCAUUACCAUUGUGACUAUAGCAUUUAAUGUGAAUGUAGAAAGUCAGAGUGGGAAAACCGUAUUUAAAACCAUGUGCCGGAGUGUAGGUAGUUCAGUUGAUAAGAGUGUUUGUCAAGCAUGAACAAAGCCCGGGAUUUAGUCUCUAAAAGGAUGAACACUGGUGUGGAGGAACACCCAGCAUUAGGGAGGCAGUCAAGUAAGAGGUUCACAGCAGUCUUAGCUACCUACAUAGUUGGAGACCCCAUUUCAGAGACAAAACAAGCCAUUUGCCCAGACAGAUGGGCUUUGAAUUCUUCACUGUGUUCCCUCUGACAAGUGUAUGCCAACAGCUAAUGCCUGUGUUUGCCAGUUUUUACACUGAUUAUGUGGAUUACGUAGGCGGGUACAAUGAUACUCACAUGACUAAGAUCCAAAACU